UGUAACAGCAACUCCAUGUGGAAGGGUCUGUGUUUCCAGUGGAGCUGCUGUUAUUAU
rnacentral:pre_miRNA from 1 species